AGUGAACGCUGGCGGUAGGCCUAACACAUGCAAGUCGAACGGCAGCACAGUAAGAGCUUGCUCUUACGGGUGGCGAGUGGCGGACGGGUGAGGAAUACAUCGGAAUCUACUUUUUCGUGGGGGAUAACGUAGGGAAACUUACGCUAAUACCGCAUACGACCUACGGGUGAAAGCAGGGGAUCUUCGGACCUUGCGCGAUUGAAUGAGCCGAUGUCGGAUUAGCUAGUUGGCGGGGUAAAGGCCCACCAAGGCGACGAUCCGUAGCUGGUCUGAGAGGAUGCGAAGCCACAGUGGAACGGAGACGCGGUCCAGACCCCUACGGGAGGCAGCAGGGGGGAUUAUUGGACAAGGGGCGAAAGCCUGACCCCGCCAACCCGGGGGGGGAAAGAAGGCCUUCGGGUUGUAAACCCUUUUUGUGGGAAAAGAAAAGAAGCAGUUUAAUCCCCCGCUGUUCUGACGGUACCAAAAGAAAAAGCACCGGCUACCUUCGUG
rnacentral:rRNA from 1 species